CAGCAGCCGCGGGAAUACGAAGGGGGCUAGCGUUGUUCGGAUUUACUGGGCGUAAAGGGUGCGUAGGCGGACUGAUAAGUCAGGGGUGAAAUCCCAAGGCUCAACCUUGGAACUGCCUUUGAUACUAUUAGUCUUGAGUUCGAGAGAGGUGGGUGGAACUGCGAGUGUAGAGGUGAAAUUCGUAGAUAUUCGCAAGAACACCAGUGGCGAAGGCGGCUCACUGGCUCGAAACUGACGCUGAGGCACGAAAGCGUGGGGAGCAAACAGGAUUAGAUACCCCGGUAGUCCCUGUCUCUUAUAC
rnacentral:rRNA from 1 species